CGGAAGCCACAACUCAAGGGUUUCUAGAGCAUGCUAUUCAGGUAGAAUUGUAUUUGGCUGUACACUGAAUGUCAUACUAUAGGUGCAAUUCAAGAAUGGGAGUUAUAUCGUACUCAAUUGCCUUCUUCUUAAAUGGAACCAGAGCAAUUUCAACCACGAGUUUAAGCUGUUGGCGCCUAAUAACAAGUCCCUGGAUUUCAUAAAGGCAUGGAAUACAUUCACAGAGUUCAACGUGGAAAGAGGGUUUCAUGUGCCAAAAUCUACCUAUGACCAAAACAGUUUAGUGCAUGUGAUGACCUAGCCUCGACCCCAGGCCGAUCCGUCUCCAAUUGAAUGCUAGGUCGCUUUAAAAAAAAUCGGCCUGGGACCGAGGCUAGUGAUGACCAGGAGUUUUCACUUGAUAGUGAUGCGUCCAGUUCCAGGGAAAACCUAACUCCACCAACUGCGAAGGUAUUUAAACACCGCGAUCCCCUUGAUGAUGCCAUCUUCAUCAAGCGACAAGGUACAUUUGAUCUGCUUCUCAACACCCUAGUAAAACCACAUGAGGCCAAACGAUGUGUUAGACCAGUAGACACAUCGUUUGUUAAGGCUCUGGCAGCAAGGUUUGAAGGUUCCCUUCAGCUCCUGGUGUACCACCCAUUGCAGCACUAUGUGUAUCUGUUCCCUCAAAAGAAGCCUUCGACACAAAAAGGAAAGAUGGCUACAGGUACGAGGUAUUGGGAGGGCAGCACUCAGCUCUGGCAAGAAAAGAGAUAUCUUUAAAGAAUCCAGAAAACAUGGCUCUUCAGAGAGUCUAUAUUGGGCUCACAGAUGAUGAAUCCCUCCGUUUAGCUUCACGGCACAACGUCAACGGGCAUUUUGGGUACAAAAUGACGCACAGAGACUAUCAUGCCGUUUCAAACUCUUUGCAUUGGCUGGUACGGAGUCCAGCGGGGAAACCUCAGAAACCAAGUCGCACACAGAGUGGAGGGACACAUGCAAGCGUUGCAUACUACCACAGGACAUGGGAAGGUGCACUAUGGACAAUGUCUUCAAUCAGGCCUCGUUUAAGAGUGAUGUUUGGAAGCUGGUGUCCACUAUAUCAUGGACAAGUUUGAGGAGGGGGAGUUAAAAGACCAGACCCUCAGCACAAAAUCUCUUAUUACGAAGCCUGAAUUCAGGCAACAAUACUUGAGCCCAAUUCAGUGCUUGCCUGAGGAAUUUAAGCUUGAUGUUCUGCAGGAUGUAGUUGAUGGAGAUCUUAGUUUGGCAGAGCUUCGUGAAAAGGCGGUAAACUACCGAUCAAUGUGGACUAUUGAGCGAGCCUUUUGCAAAAUCACGAGUACUACCUGGGAGGAAGCUAAUCGGAAGUACCCUGAACACACCAAUCCUGAGCGUUUGGAGUCAUUUGCUGCAGUCUUCACAAAAUCCCCAAAAAUUCCACCUUCAUUUCAGGCAUAUUGUAGCUCCCUAGGGUUUGUGCCAGCACUAGGCUUCGUCAUAAUUGGCCACUACUCCAUCAACGGAGAGUUGUUGAAGGAACACUUCAACACAACACCUGAGGCCCAGAGAUCCAAUGUGUUUUUGUCGGACGUUAAGGAUGUUGGUGACGGUGUGCCAACAAGUGUUUUUGAGUCACUGAUCUACACACUCUCAUAUGAAGGACAGUGCAUCAUCGAUGCCACAACAGGAAGUAGUAUGUAUACGAGUUAUAGUUUCUAUAAUUAGAGAAAAGACUAUAACCAUGCAUGCACAUAAACAAUGCUUAAUUAAAAUUCUGAUACAUUGAUUAAUUAUCUGUGUAGUAGUGCACGUAUAGUAAGCAUUGUAAACAUUGUACAUGUAGAUGCGUGCAGUCGUGCAUGAAGGCUCAGCUCUCAUAGUAGACAUUUGAGUCAGGAUCGACUGCUGACUGGGUUGAUAUAAGAAACCUACACGGGAAUUAUACGAUUUUAUAUAGUGUUGCCUCAUGCACAAUUGUAGUACAGUGGAACCCCUCUAUAACGGACACCUUUGAUGGGGAACAAUGUUUUGGCCUUUACAGAGGUAGCCUUUGUUGAGAGGUUGUUUAGUACACAAACUGUUCAUUUGGGACCUGGGUGCCUGGCCGUUACGAUUAAUUUUUUUAAUUAAAUACUUACAUCUUACAUAACUUCCAGCUGUCUCGUGUGGAGCUGCUUCUAUACAAUUAUCAAUGAAUCAUUGACUUCUACCGAAGGGUACUACAUUUGCAACAAGAUUACAACUACAUUACUACAUUACUACAUUACUACAUUACAUUAUUACAUUACUACAUUACAACGGCCAUGAUAUUGGUUUCAUUCUGACUGGUUUAUCAACAAAUAUAUACUUGUCUAGCAAACCAAAUGUGGGAGCCUGAACCUGUUUGCAUUAAUUGCAGGUGAGCUGUUUUAAUCCAGUAAUCAAUUAACUUGUGUUAUGUCUCUAUAAAUGUAUUAUGUCAUUAGAAAUCAUAGGGAGGGGAGCCACAAAAAACAGCUGCAUUGACAGUAUUAAGUUCAUAUUAAGUUCAUAACUAGCACAAUAGUAUAUAAAUACUUAUGAGUAGGUGCCAAUUCCCAUCCCCCACCCCCCAUUUGCCUGCAUGGCAUGGCAACUGAUAGUAGAAGUAACUUAGUUACAACAGAGAGUACUUUAGUUUACCAACACUUGAGGAGCAUUUCUUUGAAUGUAUAUAGAACUGUUCUUGAGCAUAGCAUCAAAUAUAAUUAUGCAAACAUUGCGAGCUAGCACUGAUCAAUUCGCAUAAAUAAAAUCGCAAAACCUUAAUCUUAGAUCCCAUUUGAGUGUAUUUAGCAGGGAACUAUGAGCUAUAGUACCGGUACUAUAGAUUGCUCUGGGCUACAAACUACAACAUUGUACAUUGUAUUGUGAUUUACAAGAAGAUACACAUGUAAUAACAUAAAAAUUAUUGUAGCUAGAUGCUUUGUCUAGUAAUAAUAAUAAUAACAGAACUAGAAUGAAAGAGAGAAGCUCUAGUUUCUUUUUUUGGCUUUGUUCGAAAGUAGUAGGAGACGCUCGUUUUUUGCUGCAAGGCUGCAUGGGGGAGGAGCUGGAUGUAUGGAAGUGCUGGGAUUCUAGCUUUGGCUUCUUCCUAAAGUUCCUUUCGCUUUGUUCAAGAGUAGUAUAGGAGCCGCUCGUUUGCUGGGCUUGUUUGCUGCAAAUUAUAGCUUAUAGGUGUCUUCCUUUCGCUUUGUGAGAGCCGCUCGUUUCGUGGGAAGUGUGCUGGGCUAGCUUGUUUGCUGCAAAACUGGGGGAGGAGCUGGAUGUUUCCGUUUUGUGGGUGGAGCUAGGACUAUAAUUUUGUCCAUCAAACUGAAGUGGAGGAACAGGGUUGACUUGAAUAGAGACCACAGAUUUAGUAGAGACACAGAGAUGCCAACUUCAGAUAUUAGUUUUCAAAAGAAUAAUGAUGCAGUUGCUAGGUUGGCUGUUUAUAUAGGUUGACUGUUGCUAAGCUAGUGCAUUUCUAGUAGCCAAUAGGUUUUGGGAUCUAAAUCAGUUAGAACAUGUGCAUUCGGUAUCUAUGGUUAUAGUGUCCCUCAUCCCUCGGGCUAAAGCCCUCGAGCUUUGGGACACUAUAACACAUAGAUACCUCAUGCCCAUGUUCUAACUAUUACAUAGUACUGGUAAUUAUACACAAUCUUUGCAAAUUUUCUGCUGAUUUGGCUUAUUCGAAAAGGUUUUUCACCAGCAAAAUAUUCGGAAACAGAGAAAAUGUAUGUUAUUAUCUGUUUUCAGGUAGGUUGAGGGAAUGCUUUAGAGUGUAAAGUUUAAAUUACUGUGCUGUAUGUACAACUUAUGCAUGAGUAACUUUACACUCAGAAGCAUUCCCUCAACUUACCAGCAUAAAAACCUUUGUACCAUAUGCUAUUUGAUCUUGCACCUAAAUUAUGUAAACAGAACACUAUAUUAAAACACACUGCGUGGGCUUAGUGUAUAUGUAUAAGUUGAACUCAAAUAAAUCCCCCAAAAUUUCCAAACAGGAAAUCUCAUAUAAUUGUAGCACUCAAGUGUGUGCCUACAUUGUAUCCAAUUACACAGGGUUCAUAAUUUUUGGCUCAUGACAUUGUAUAAAUUAGUGGAAACGCUUGGUGUAUAGAACCAUAUUUUGCACUUUAUCGAGUUAGAAUGAGCCACUGGAGAUCAACAGAGUCAUCUGUAGCUACUCGGGUCCUAACUGAGGAAGAAAAGAAAAUAGCGUUAAGCCAGAUUACAGCUCUCGAACGUUUUGCUGCAGCUAGGGAUGGUCUCAGAGCCAUAGUGUGUGUUCCUCCCCGGGAGGGAGAGAAUGAGAGAUGGAUAGCUGUGAACCCUAUCAGCCAUCAAAUUGAUUUCAACAUUCGACAACCAGACCAAAAUCGAACUGUACUGUAUGCUGGUGAGAACAAAUAUGGAUGCAACAGCUACUGUUACAUUGACCAACUUUCAUGCUGCAUCAUUUGGACAAUUAUUGCCACUGUGAUCUUCUCUAUUCUGACAUCUCCCGCGAUUCUUUUGUGCUGCAUUCCCAUGAUCAAGAAAAUGAGACAGGCUCAGAGAAAAUUUGAGGAGAGAGACAACUUUGGUGCCCGUAAGGAGUACAAGAGUUGCUGUAACUGGUGCAUAGGUCCUGCAAUAUGGAUUAUUGCAAUUCUACCAAUACUUGUAAUAGCAGUUGUUCUAAUAGUGGUAUUUGCUGCAGAUUCUAAUAACUGAACUUUUUUACGGUUAUGGUAUAAUGAUUGCUCAUGAAUAUUCAUGAGUUUUUUUAUAGUUUGCUUUUUCUCUCCUUAAUCUUGCAGGACAAAAGCUAAGUCUACUGUACAUAUUUGUAUAAAGAUUAAUUCUAUUGCUUUUGUUUUAUGAAUGAAAUGAUUAUGAAGAUGCAUAAAAGAGACAAGAUAAAAUUAAAAC